rnacentral:lncRNA from 1 species
CUACGUUGUUCCCCUUGUGCUGAGGUGUGACCUUGAAAGUGAAGCUGCUGUACGGUGGUGAGAACUUUUGGUAUUUCCUGAACGAAAUCUUCUGGAGGGAGUCCAAGAUUCAGCUGCCAAAUUUAAAUUCCAGUGUUUGUGGGCUGACAUGUGUUCCCUGAACAGAGCUUCUGCCAUCAUCCUGAGACUCUUGAGACUGAGGGGAUAAUUUGGUUCAAAACAUUUAUGAGAACUUGCCAACUGAUGCUUUUGAACUGUGGUGUUGGAGAAGACUCUCGAGAUUUCCUUGGACUGCAAGGAGAUCCAACCAGUCCAUCCUAAAGGAAAUCAGUCCUGAAUGUUCAUUGGAAAGACUGAUGCUGAAGCUGAAACUCCAAUACUUUGGCCACCUGAUUUGAAGAACCGACUCCUUGGAAAAGACCCUGAUGCUGGGAAAGAUUAAAGGCAGGAGGAGAAGGGGAGGACAGAGGAUGAGAUGGUUGGAUGGCAUCACCGACUCGACGGACAUGAGUUUGAGUAAACUCUGGGAGUUGGUGAUGGACAGGGAAGCCUGGUGUGCUGCAGUCCAUGGGGUCACAAAGAGUCGGACAUGACUGAGUGACUGAACUGAACUGAACUGAACUGCCAGGCCUUAGGAGAUCCAAGGACUCCGAAGGCACUGUUGAUUUUGUGCUUCCAAGUCUUGACAAUUUCCAUUUUGGCCACUGGGUGGCAGUGUGUCCCACAAAAUGUUAUUCACAGGUCUGGUGUGUGUCUCCUCCUCAAGCCUAAGGCUCAGAGAUUGUAGCUCCUCACUUGGAUUUGUUUAACGCACAUUUUCACAUUGAAUUGACAGCUCGUGUUAUAGCCGUGUGUGCAUAUAUGUAUUUAAUUAUACUGUGGAAUUAAAUUCAAAAGGGUG